rnacentral:tRNA from 1 species
GCCUGAGUGGCUCAGUCGGUUGAGCAUCUGACUUCGGCUCAGGUCAUGAUCUCAGAGUUCGAGAGUUCGAGCCCCGCGUUGGGCU